AGAGUUUGAUCCUGGCUCAGAACGAACGCUGGCGGCGUGCUUAACACAUGCAAGUCGAGUGCGCGUUUCUGUAGCAAUACAGGAAUGGCGCACGGCGCACGGGUGCGUAACACGUGGGUAAUCUGCCCUCCGAUGGGGAAUAACCCCGCGAAAGCGGGGCUAAUUCCGCAUAACAUUCCUUGGACUCCGGUUCGAGGAUUCAAAGGCGUAAGUCGUCGGAGGUGGAACCCGCGCCCGAUUAGCUAGUUGGUGAGGUAACGGCUCACCAAGGCAAUGAUCGGUAGCUGGUCUGAGAGGAUGGCCAGCCACACUGGAACUGAGACACGGUCCAGACUCCUACGGGAGGCAGCAGUGGGGAAUCUUGCACAAUGGGCGAAAGCCUGAUGCAGCGACGCCGCGUGGGGGAUGAAGCUUCUCGGAGUGUAAACCCCUUUCGACCCGGACGAAUGCCCCGCGAGGGGAGUGACGGUACGGGUAUAAGAAGCCCCGGCUAACUACGUGCCAUCAGCCGCGGUAAGACGUGGGGGGCCAGCGUUGUUCGGAAUUACCGGGUGUAAAGGGUUCGUAGGCGGUGUGGCAAGUUGGGAGUGAAAUCUCUGGGCUCAACUCAGAGGCUGCUUCCAAAACUGCUGUGCUAGAGUGUGGGAGAGGCGCGUGGAAUUGCAGGUGUAGCGGUGAAAUGCGUAGAUAUCUGCAGGAACACCCGUGGCGAAAGCGGCGCGCUGGACCACUACUGACGCUGAGGAACGAAAGCUAGGGGAGCAAACAGGAUUAGAUACCCUGGUAGUCCUAGCCCUAAACGAUCAGGACUUGGGGUGCCACCCGUUCGGGUGUCGUCCCGGAGCUAACGCGUUAAGUCCUGCACCUGGGAGUACGGCGCAGACUGAAACUCAAAGGAAUUGACGGGCGC
rnacentral:rRNA from 1 species